rnacentral:rRNA from 1 species
UACGUAGGUGGCGAGCGUUGUCCGGAAUUACUGGGCGUAAAGGGUGCGUAGGCGGUUUCUUAAGUCAGAUGUGAAAUUCCAGGGCUCAACUCUGGAGUUGCAUUUGAAACUGGGGAGCUAGAGUGCAGGAGAGGGAAGCGGAAUUCCUAGUGUAGCGGUGAAAUGCGUAGAUAUUAGGAAGAACACCAGUGGCGAAGGCGGCUUUCUGGACUGUAACUGACGCUGAGGCACGAAAGCGUGGGGAGCAAACAGG